rnacentral:rRNA from 1 species
CGAAUGCUGACAUAAGUAACGAUAAAGCGGGUGAAAAGCCCGCUCGCCGGAAGACCAAGGGUUCCUGUCCAACGUUAAUCGGGGCAGGGUGAGUCGACCCCUAAGGCGAGGCCGAAAGGCGUAGUCGAUGGGAAACAGGUUAAUAUUCCUGUACUUGGUGUUACUGCGAAGGGGGGACGGAGAAGGCUAUGUUGGCCGGGCGACGGUUGUCCCGGUUUAAGCGUGUAGGCUGGUUUUCCAGGCAAAUCCGGAAAAUCAAGGCUGAGGCGUGAUGACGAGGCACUACGGUGCUGAAGCAACAAAUGCCCUGCUUCCAGGAAAAGCCUCUAAGCAUCAGGUAACAUCAAAUCGUACCCCAAACCGACACAGGUGGUCAGGUAGAGAAUACCAAGGCGCUUGAGAGAACUCGGGUGAAGGAACUAGGCAAAAUGGUGCCGUAACUUCGGGAGAAGGCACGCUGAUAUGUAGGUGAAGUCCCUCGCGGAUGGAGCUGAAAUCAGUCGAAGAUACCAGCUGGCUGCAACUGUUUAUUAAAAACACAGCACUGUGCAAACACGAAAGUGGACGU